rnacentral:lncRNA from 1 species
UGGCGGUGAAUGUUGGCCGGGGUGAAAACCUACUCUAUCCUCACGGACUGGCGACGUCGAAGAUCGCUCCCUUCUGGAAGGCGUCGUCGCGGCUAUCAUUGCCCGUCGUGGUGCUCCAGGGGAAACUCUGAUCCUCGGAUCGGGCGGUGGCGACGCUCCGGUGCCGUAUCCUUUCUGAAGGCACCGCCUUGGAGCCCACGGGUCGUCAUAUGCGGCUUCACUUCUUCGACUGAAGCCCCCGGCGGCUCUUGUAGUGCUAGGGAGUGUGUUGCUGCGCUCAGCGCCUAUGUAUCCUGCCUUGGGUGUGUGUGCGCGUUUGUGGUGGGUGAGUGCGGUUGUACCAGACAUUGUUGAUCUUUGUUUUACAUAUAAAGCGGGGUGAAAGCCUUUUUCGAUAAAGGUUUGGCUUCGCCCCUUUGAAAAUAAAGUCAUUCCUGGAUGUCGAAAUUGAAAAUCUUGUGUUUGUUCUGGCAGCAAGUCUCCCAAAGCCAUCUAACUAACUAAACUUUCCUUUGCAUAGCUAGCUAGAGAGAAUCAAUGGCGGCAUAUGUGCGCUCUCAGCUGGUGCUACUCAGGUCACAAGCGAAGCGACUGCUGAGCUGCUCAUCGUCAUCCUCCGCUGCGCCAAGAACUGUUAUGUAUGCCUCCAUUCGCUCCUGCAGGUAUAUUAUAUAUGCACUCAAGUAUCUACUCUCAUACAUUGUGCACAUCUUCUUCUUGCUAUACAUGGAUCAUAUCCCUGCGCUAACAUACUCGAUCCGUGACAUUGCAGUUUCAGAUGCUGCUGGAGGACGUACCAGUUCCAAAACCUCGCCUAAGCACUGGAUUUAUGGACCUCCCGGCUUAGCGUCUAUGCUCUCCUUGCUACGGCCAUUCACCCCCUCACCCUCCGAUGCGCCAAGAUCAACUGAUGGUGCAGGUAGCAGUCCCGUGGACGUGCGUGACCCCGGGACUCAUGAACCGCCUCUCGCAGACUAGUUUUGAGAUCCUAAUACAGUGACCGAGAGUGGAGGUCACAUACUGCCGUUUCACCGCUGUCAUAUUGAAUUUUCAUUUGACACGGCAUUUCAUAUAAGUAUUUCUAUGUGUCUGCGCGUGUGUUUUGGCUAUAUGCAUCAUAGUUAUCCAGAGGCAGAAUGUAUCGCUUGAUGACACAUUUUAAGUUAAUAAAAUAAGCAACCUUUAUCAUAGAAGUAUACUGCUCAAAUUGAUCGAGAAAUGUGCACGUUCAACCUUUUGUUUGAUUUGCAUCAUGUAUGUUUGUUGUCUAUUAUGGGCAUAUCAAAGCUGUAGCUCAUCAAAUCCGCCCAAGUUAAAAGAGGAUGAAUGAUUUGUGUGGAUUUUUGAAACAUGGGUCUAACGCCCACCUGAUUUAGCUAAAAAAAUAGAAAUAUGUCAAAAAUUUCUGAAACUUUUUUUAACAAAUAUGGUCUAGUGUUAUUCUCAUGUGUAAAGUUUCACCACAAAAUGAUUUCCGAUUACUUCUUGGCAAAGAUACAAAAUUGCUACCAUGGAAAACAUGAAUAGUAACUUUAAUGUAGUAACGAUUUCUGUUUUUUGGCCCAAAAUACCACAAAAUUUAAAAAAAUCGUGAAACUUUACAGAUGAAUAUAACGCUAGACCAUGUUUGUUGAAUAGAAGUUUCAGAAAUAUUUAACCCCUUUUACUAUUAUUUUUUUCAAUUUGGGUACAUGUGCAAGUAUGUUUGCCAUUGUAUUUUUGCUGAAAAAGGCUUUCACCCCGUUUUAUAUAUAAAGCAACGAUCCACAACAAAUCGGUACAAACGCACGCCACCACAACACACGCACACACCCAAGGCAGGAUACAUAGGCGCUGAGCGCAGCAACACCACCCCUUAUCACUACAAGAGUAAUCGGGGACUCCCCGUGAACAUGCCACCGCGAAGAGAUGAAGCCGCAUACGACGAACCGCGGACUCCAAGACGGCGCCUUCAGGAAGGUUACGACACUGGAGCACCGCCGCCCCCCGAUCCGAGGAUCAGAGUUUCCCCUGGAGCAACACGACUGGCAAUGAGAGCCGCGACGACGCCUUCAAGAAGGGAACGAGCUUCGCCGCCGCCGGUCUGGCCGAAGACAGAGCAGGUUUUCACCAAGUCCAACACUCGCCGCCAUCGAAUGCCACACCCCGGCUACCACGCCGCCCACACGGCCAUGGCCACCGGGUAGCACCAAGCCACGGGCUCUGCCCAAGAGCGCCGCACUACCACCACCAGGGCCGCCGCCCUGGCAUCCAAGACCUUGACACCUCCACGGCCAAGACCCGCCGCUACCCCAACCAAAGAGACGAGCGGAAAGGCCCCGCCUUUCGCACCCCUGGACGGACCCGUCCUGCUGGACCGUGCGCAAGACGAGCACGGUGCUGCAGCCGGGUGCGAAACGAGCAUGGUCCUGCAGCCGGGCGCGAGACAAGCACAAUCCUGCUGUCGGGCGCGAGACGAGAUUGAUCCAACAACCGGGCACGGGACGAGCUCGGUCCUGCUGCACCGGGCGCGAAACAGACGAUGGACUGCAACUGGGAAAGGACCCGCCCUUCGACGAAAGUAGUGCACGAGCGCCGAGGGGAGGGAUCGAAGGCCGAAACAGCCCACCUGCAAACGAGCCGACGCCGACGAAGAAGCCAACCGUCGCCCAGCUGUCGUACGUGUAGACACGAGGCAUCAGGGAGGCCACACCAUACCUCCGAGCGCCACCGUAUCCCACGACCAGAGCAGCCACCACGUCGGGCCGCUGCCCUACUCCGCGUCGCUCGCCGGGACCAAGCGGAAGGCCCAACAGAGCACGCAACCACCGGCCGCACCUCCACGCGCCAACCCCGCCGCCAAAAGACGCACCUCCGGGAGGUGCAGCCCCACGGGACCUUCCUGAAGCCCGCACGCCGCACAUGGCUGCACCAGCGCCUGGCCAAGGGCAGCCAACCGCAGCCAACCCCGCCCAGCCAGAGGACCAGCCCAAGGACGGCCGCGUACGACGCAGACCACGCCCCCCGCCACCUGCGCCUAGCCGCAUCACAGCUGCCGCCACCGCCAGAUCCGCCCGCCGCCGCCGCCCGAAGGCCCCCGCACAUGCUGCUCGCAGCCCCGCCGCUCCACAACAGGCCGGGCCAGCGCAGCCGCCAUAGCGCCCACGGCCGCCCGCGUCGCCGGCACGGCCGUCCGCAGCGCCGCCGCCGCGCCCCGCGCGAGCGUCGCAUCCCAUGAAGGUCGUCACAUCCCGCGCUACAGGACCGCCGAGGGAGGAAAGAGAUCCCCGCCGUCGCCUACACCGACCGGGCUUUGCCCGGCGGCGGCGAGGGAGAGGGCGUGAGGAGGAGGACGGCGGCGGCGCGAUUUAGGGUUCGUCCCUCCCGCUCGCGGGAGCGGGACGGGACGGGACGAGGGAGAAACCUCUGCCAUUGUAUUUUUGAUCAACGAUGGGGUGUGGCGGCUGGUGGGUGACAGUUCCUUCAUUUUUGUCCCACCCGGGUUCGAUUCUACUAUCAGCACUAUAUUCCUUGAUUAUCUCUGCAUCGAAAUAUUGUAGUUUGAAUAUUCGUUAAAAACAAUAAAAAUAAUUUCACUACUACAUAGGCGAAUAAUAUUGACAUGCAAAAACCUAUCACCCAUAAACAGGAUUUUCGCCCAUGGAUCGGUGUUGAUAAUCUUUACCACUCACGGCUACCUAUGCCCGCCGAUGACGAAUUUUGUAGGGUCCAUGUGGACCCUUGAUUAUAUUUGCGAGAUUGAUGUGACACGAACAUGAUUUAACCAAGUUCAAGCUUCCGAGGUGGGUAGCAAGCCUAUGUUGUGAGUUCUCUCCGUCCUCUGUCGGAGGAGCGAGGGUGAUCCCAUAAUAGAAUCUCAAGACCAUCCUCCACUCAGGGGCUUUGUCAACAAUGCGAGCGAUGAUGCUAUCAACUGGUAAAGAUAUGGUUCUUCCAAGCACGACAGCUUUGGUCGACAGCUUUGAUCGCCCACAAGAUGAGUAGUAGCUAGGGAGCCCGUCUUUGACGCCAUGAGAUCCCACACCGCACCCACAGGCACCGACGCAAAUCAGUUCAGUCGGAAGGCAUGUGUCGAGGUUUCAAGUCCCUUAGAGCAUCUCCGGCCGUUGACCUCCCAGGGGACGCGUAAAAUCGCCGCCUAGGAGCGAGCCGGCGCGAACAAACGGUCUGGAGGCGAGUUGGUGCCGAGUCGCCGAAGUUCAUAGCAUCUAAUUUUCUUUNNNNNNNNNNGGCGCGGGGCUGCGCUCGGCGGCGGUGGCCGAUGCUGCAGGCCUGGCGCGGAGGACUAGACGCGGGUGGGUGGCGCGUUUGUGCCCGCGACGGCGGCGUUUCCUGCGCGACCGGAUCUGGCUCAAGACGGCGCGGGCUGCGGGUGGCUCGGGCUGCUGGUGGCCAUCUCUGUCGUGGACGCGGCAGGUGGUGGCGGCUUCGCGGCAGUUGGUGGUGGUGGUGCGGGCCGGAGGUUGGAGACGACGGCCGCGUCGGCUCGUUCAGAUCUGACCUCACGGCGGCGCGGGCCGCGAAGGCUAGGGCUGCGGGCCGCGGCCCUGACCGUGGCCCCCUCGGCUGGUCGGGGUGGCGGCGCAGUGGCGGUGGCUGCGGGGGUGCGGGCCCAGCGGCUGCUGUGGUGGUGGCAGGUUGGUUGUGGCGGCGGCCAGUUUGUCCUGGCGUCGGCCCGUCUGUAGGCUGCCUGUAUCGGCCCUCGACCCCUCUCCUCGGCGUCCGUUCGCAUCUCUCGCCGGAGGGCUGGCCUUCUCCCGGAUGUGGUCCAUCUUCCGUCUCGCACCCGGUGCCGUAGGACCGAGCUAGUCUUGCGAUUGGUAGCAGGACCAGCCCGUCUCGCGCCGGCAGCAGGACUGCGCUUGUCUUGCGCCCGGCAGCAGGACCGGCCCGUCUCGCGCCCGGCGGCUGGACUGCGCUCGUCUCGCGCCCGGUGUAGCAGGAUGGCUCGAUGGAGGCUUGUUGUGGCCGGCCUAUUGGGUCUCGGCGUUGGGACCGGCCAGGGGUGUGAAAGGCGAAUCCUUUCCGCCCGUCUCUGCGGUGGGGGUAGCAGUGGGGCUCGGGGGACUUGGUGUCAGGGUCUUGGAUUUCGGGGCGGCGGCCCUGGUGGUGGUGGCGCGGUGCUCAUGGGAAAAGCUCAUGCCUCGGUGCUGCUCGGCUGCCACGGCCGUGUGGGCGGCGUGGUAGCCGGGGUGUGGCGAUCGGUGGCGGUGAAUGUUGGCCGGGGUGAAAACCUACUCUAUCCUCACGGACUGGCGACGGCGAAGGUCGCUCCCUUCUUGAAGGCGUCGUCGCGGCUAUCAUUGCCCGUCGUGGUGCUCCAGGGGAAACUCUGAUCCUCGGAUCGGGCGGUGGCGACGCUCCGGUGCCGUAUCCUUCCUGAAGGCACCGUCUUGGAGCCCACGGGUCGUCAUAUGCGGCUUCACUUCUUCGAUUGUAGCCCCCGGCGGCUCUUGUAGUGCUAGGGAGUGUGUUGCUGCGCUCAGCGCCUAUGUAUCCUGCCUUGGGUGUGUGUGUGCGUUUGUGGUGGGUGAGUGCGGUUGUACCAGACAUUGUUGAUCUUUGCUUUAUAUAUAAAGCGGGGCGAAAGCCUUUUUCGGUAAUUUGGUCCUUGGUUAUCCAUGUUUUGUUUCUCAAAAGAAAAAAGGUUAUCCAUGUUUUUGUGUACUGUACUGUACGUCUGUACCCGGGCCGGCUGACACAUGGGACCAAAUUUUGUGGGGUCAACAGGGCAGCGACUCUGUGUCUG